UACGUAGGUGGCAAGCGUUGUCCGGAAUUAUUGGGCGUAAAGCGCGCGCAGGCGGUCCUUUAAGUCUGAUGUGAAAGCCCACGGCUCAACCGUGGAGGGUCAUUGGAAACUGGGGGACUUGAGUGCAGAAGAGGAAAGCGGAAUUCCAUGUGUAGCGGUGAAAUGCGUAGAGAUGUGGAGGAACACCAGUGGCGAAGGCGGCUUUCUGGUCUGUAACUGACGCUGAGGCGCGAAAGCGUGGGGAGCAAACAGG
rnacentral:rRNA from 1 species